GUAGUAUUAAGAUAAAGUGGUUUCCUCCGAUGUAUAGUAUUUAACUUUCUGAAUGUGCCAACUUAAUGGAGUUUUUUUUUUUCAUUAUAAUUAGCUGUGGGAACCCAAAACACAUAGGUUUUCCCAACAGCAGAGGCCAUGCGGUAUUAUAUAUUAUUCAUUUUUGCAGACUCUGCACCAGAAGAGCAGACUGGGUGGUGCUGAUUAUCACAGUGCAUCUACCAUUUAAACUCUCAAACUCUAUGUAGCUGUGAAAUAGUGGUGUGCAACUCCUCGUCAGAGAAAUGCUACUUCAUUCAGAAGACGCCAGUGACUUUGUGUUAGAAUAGACCAUUCUUGGCUUCCCUGUAGUGGCUCUCUCACAGUUGAAAAGAAAAGAAAAGAAAAGAAAAAGAAAAAGAAAGAGAGAGAGAGAAAGAGAGAAAGAAAGAAAGAAAGAAAGAAAGAAAGAAAGAAAGAAAGAAAGAAAGAAAGAAAGAAAGAAAGAAAGAAAGAAUUGGAUGAAUUGGACAGGGCUUUGAGCAUUUCUUUGAAAGAUGCUUUUUUUCAACAUCUGAAAGCUUGUAGGAAUGUUUUCAGUGAAACAGAAUAACUAGUUCUCUGCAUCGUUUUUCUUCUUUUUAUUUAAGUAUUGGUAAUGCUGCUUUCUGGUUUUUUGUUUUUUGUUUUAGUGAGUGCAUUUGCAUAUUUAAAAUACAUUGUUUUAGAGAAUAUUUUGAAAUUAUUAUGAUUACAUUUUCCAUUUUAUGGCUUUACCUUAGUUUAUUAAGUUUUCUGAGGUUACACAUAUUCUUCUAUUUUAAGAAAGCAAAAGUGACAACUUGCAUUCUUUGUGCAAAAUACACUGCUGUGAGGUCCUACACUAGAAAUCUGAGCCAAAGGUUGAAACUGUGCGUGCCAAUGCCAGAUACGCUGGUCAAGGUCAAGAUGUCUCCAAUCCGAUGGCAUAGGUUAUCACAUCAGUAAGUAAUCCCAAAAUUUCAUUUUGUUCCAGAGCAUUUCAUUUUCAUGUUAUCUUGAUAAUCACCAUAUUGGAGCCACAGUGGGGGUGAGUUUGACUCCCUUUCCUGACACACUUUUAACUGCACACCAACAGUAAGAAUCUAGGCAAAUGCUAAUUGAUAAAUAGAUGUGUAUCACAGUAUAAGUUUAGAAAGCAUAUCUUCAAAAUGUCAGACCAGGUAAAGCUUUCGUGCUUAGAGUAUAACCAACAGUUUUGGAUGUCUGUCUUGAAUCUAGAACCUUAAGCCUAAAUCAAAGGAAACCUUACUGUUGAUAGCAAGAAGAUAACAACAUAUUUUUGAAGUGGUUUUCCAAGCUAGCUGUUUAAAGUGUGGAGAAGGAUUUGGUUCUUGAAAUUUGGUAUUAACCUUUUUUCAUGCCAUGUCUUAAGAAUUAUAAUGUACACUCAACGAUUGCCAAGAGAGGGGGAGGGGGAGGAAAACAGCCAACAGCAGAGCUGGUUGGUCUGAACUCAGUGCAGUUUUCAAUGAGAACAACAGCUGUCCAGCAAGGAAUCAUAUCAUCCAUUCUCAGCUUCUACAUUCAAAGGGCAGAGCUUUUUAGAAAACUCAACCUCCUAAGGCAUUAGGAACUGAGCUGAAACCAGCAGAAUUGAAAACUCUGGCAAUAAAAUAUAGACUCAAUCGUAACCCUUCUGGCAAGUUCCUUCUCAGAGAAGGAAGUGGGAGUAAAAUGUGGCCUUCCCCACUUCUUUACAUCACCCCUGUCACAAUGUCCCCGCUGGCCUGGCCAGUUUCGAGAGGGAAGGGUGGACUGGUUUUAGUACUCUGAAGAAAACCCAAGCUGCAGUAUUUGAGGUGCAGUAUAAUAUUUCCUAAUCUUUCCUAUUUCUUAACAAAAAAAGAUUUUAAAGUACUUCUCUACUCAUUGAAUUUUUGUUCUUUACAUACUAUUGAUAUAUUCUUUUUCUACUCAAAAGUGCCAAAGGCUACAGUUUUUAAUGACUUAACAAAUUGUACCACAUUGUUAAGGAAAUAUAAUGAUAGACACUAGAAUUCAGACCUCUGCAUGUAUAUUUGAUAACACAUCUUUUGUAAAAAAUAAAUAAUUACAAAAAAUUUGUUUACAUUCCACAGGUACCUUAAUUUAAAAUAAAUCAGACUAACAGGUGGUAUCUCUUCUUAGUGUUCUAUUUAUCUUAUUUGCUAAUGAGAACAAUUCUUCUUCUGUUAGGCUGUGCUUUAUUGAUAAAACCAAGUAUUGAAUAAAGAGAGUUAAUUAUCUUUUUAAAGUAAAUGAAAUUAUAAAUAUAUAAUAUAUAUAAAGUAUUGUGUUUAAUAAAAUGUUAUGCAAUGUUUUCCAAACUGAUAAAGUUUGUAAAGUGCUAUAAAUGUAUUUUGUUAAGUACAGAUCAAAGCUAUCGUGUGAGUAUAUUGUGCUAACAUCAUAGAAAUAAAGAUUAGAUUUCUUCAUC
rnacentral:lncRNA from 1 species